GCCGAGGUGGCGGAAUGGUAGACGCGGCGGACUUAAAAUCCGCUUCCUGCAAGGGAGUGUGGGUUCGAGUCCCUCCCUCGGCA
rnacentral:tRNA from 1 species